rnacentral:rRNA from 1 species
UACAGGGGGUGCGAGCGUCAAUCGGAGUUACUGGGCGUAAAGGGCGCGUAGGUGGUUGUUUAAGUGAGAUGUGAAAUCCCUGGGCUUAACCUAGGAACUGCAUCUCAUACUGGAUAACUGGAGUAUUGUAGAGGGUAGUGGAAUUUCCGGUGUAGCGGUGAAACGCGUAGAGAUCGGAAGGAACACCAGUGGCGAAGGCGGCUACCUGGACAAAUACUGACACUGAGGCGCGAGAGCGUGGGGAGCAAACAGG